rnacentral:rRNA from 1 species
AUUCCAGCUCCAAUAGUGUAUAUUAAAGUUGUUGCAGUUAAAAAGCUCGUAGUUGGAUUUCUGGCGGGAGCGAUCGGUCCUUCACUCAGUGUUGGAACCUGAUUGUCUCCUGCCAUCCAUGGAGAAAACUUAUCUGGCAUUAAGUUGUCGGGUAGGCAAUCUCCAUCUUUUACUGUGAAAAAAUUAGAGUGUUCAAAGCAGGCUUAUGCCGUUGAAUAUAUUAGCAUGGAAUAAUAAGAUAGGACUAUGGUACUAUUUUGUUGGUUUGCAUACCAAAUUAAUGAUCAACAGGAACAGUUUGAGGAUAUUCGUAUGAACAUGUCAGAGGUGAAAUUCUUGGAUUUGGAUCAGACGAACUACUGCGAAAGCAUUUAUCAAGGAUGUUUUCAUUA